rnacentral:rRNA from 1 species
UACGUAGGGUGCGAGCGUUAAUCGGAAUUACUGGGCGUAAAUCGUGCGCAGGCGGCUUUGCAAGACAGAUGUGAAAUCCCCGGGCUUAACCUGGGAACUGCAUUUGUGACUGCAUGGCUGGAGUGCGGCAGAGGGGGAUGGAAUUCCGCGUGUAGCAGUGAAAUGCGUAGAUAUGCGGAGGAACACCGAUGGCGAAGGCAAUCCCCUGGGCCUGCACUGACGCUCAUGCACGAAAGCGUGGGGAGCAAACAGG